GAUGAACGCUGGCGGCGUGCUUAACACAUGCAAGUCGAACGGGAAUUACUUUAUUGAAACUUCGGUCGAUAUGAUUUAAUUCUAGUGGCGGACGGGUGAGUAACGCGUGGGUAACCUGCCUUGUACAGGGGGAUAACAGUCAGAAAUGGCUGCUAAUACCGCAUAAGCGCACAGGACCGCAUGGUCCGGUGUGAAAAACUCCGGUGGUAUAAGAUGGACCCGCGUUGGAUUAGCUUGUUGGCAGGGUAACGGCCUACCAAGGCGACGAUCCAUAGCCGGCCUGAGAGGGUGAACGGCCACAUUGGGACUGAGACACGGCCCAGACUCCUACGGGAGGCAGCAGUGGGGAAUAUUGCACAAUGGGGGAAACCCUGAUGCAGCGACGCCGCGUGAAGGAAGAAGUAUCUCGGUAUGUAAACUUCUAUCAGCAGGGAAGAAAAUGACGGUAC
rnacentral:rRNA from 1 species